AUUACUUGUGGGAAAAAUUCUAGUAACUCAGAGGAUAUGUGGAGUCACAUUCUUUUCCAUAAUGAAAAAAAAUUAAUAAAAUGCUCCAGAAACAAAUGGACCACAAUUCCACCCAUUCAAAAUAAUUGCAAGGAGAGUUGGCCUGAAUCUGGAAACAAAGAAAAUGUUAAAAGAGGCACCAUAUGUUCACUUUCAACUUGAGGGCAGUAAUGAGGAUCCACUUUCAACAACAGUCUACCUAUGCAAGGGUCCUGCUGAGACCCUUAUGAUGAACAGAACAUGUUUAUUUCCUAUUCUGUUGAUUACUGAUGCGACUGCUGAUGUGGUUUUAAAAGUGCUUGAGAAUAGCAGUUUAUUAUAAUAAGUUAAACAUUCCUUCUCUGCUCCACCACCAGAUCUUGUUUAAACCAAGAUUUCCUUUAUGAAGUAACUUUCUUUCCUAAUGUUAUGAAUUAAUUAUCAUGUCAAAUAAAUAAA
rnacentral:lncRNA from 1 species